rnacentral:rRNA from 1 species
UACGGAAGGCAGCAGUGGGGAAUAUUGCACAAUGGGCGCAAGCCUGAUGCAGCCAUGCCGCGUGUAUGAAAAAGGCCUUCGGGUUGUAAAGUACUUUCAGUCGUGAGGAAGGUGUUAAGGUUAAUAACCUUAGCAAUUGACGUUAGCGACAGAAGAAGCACCGGCUAACUCCGUGCCAGCAGCCGCGGUAAUACGGAGGGUGCGAGCGUUAAUCGGAAUUACUGGGCUAAAGGGCACGCAGGCGGUUAAUUAAGUUGGAUGUGAAAUCCCCGGGCUUAACCUGGGAAUGGCAUUCAAGACUGGUUAGCUAGAGUCUUGUAGAGGGGGUAGAAUUCCAUGUGUAGCGGUGAAAUGCGUAGAGAUGUGGAGGAAUACCGGUGGCGAAGGCGGCCCCUGGACAAAGACUGACGCUCAUGUGCGAAAGCGUGGGGAGCAAACAGGGAUUAGAUAC